GAUGAACGCUGGCGGCGUGCCUAAUACAUGCAAGUCGAGCGAACAGACGAGGAGCUUGCUCCUCUGACGUUAGCGGCGGACGGGUGAGUAACGCGUGGAUAACCUACCUAUAAGACUGGGAUAACUUCGGGAAACCGGAGCUAAUACCGGAUAAUAUAUUGAACCGCAUGGUUCAAUAGUGAAAGACGGUUUUGCUGUCACUUAUAGAUGGAUCCGCGCCGCAUUAGCUAGUUGGUAAGGUAACGGCUUACCAAGGCGACGAUGCGUAGCCGACCUGGGAGCGGGAACGGCCACACUGGAAAGGAGACACGGCACAAAUCCCACCGGGGGGAAGAACGAGGUAAUCUUCCGUAAAGGGCAAAACCGUACAGGAGCAACGCAGCUGGAGUGAGGAAGGAUUUGGGAUGGUAAAUCCCUUUUAUUAGGGAAGAACAAAUGUGAAAGUAACCAUGCCAGUUUUGGAGGUACCUAAGACGAAGACCGCGGUUAACUACGU
rnacentral:rRNA from 1 species